rnacentral:rRNA from 1 species
GACGAACGCUGGCGGCGUGCUUAACACAUGCAAGUCGAACGGAAAGGCCCUGCUUUUGUGGGGUGCUCGAGUGGCGAACGGGUGAGUAACACGUGAGUAACCUGCCCUUGACUUUGGGAUAACUUCAGGAAACUGGGGCUAAUACCGGAUAGGAGCUCCUGCUGCAUGGUGGGGGUUGGAAAGUUUCGGCGGUUGGGGAUGGACUCGCGGCUUAUCAGCUUGUUGGUGGGGUAGUGGCUUACCAAGGCUUUGACGGGUAGCCGGCCUGAGAGGGUGACCGGCCACACUGGGACUGAGAUACGGCCCAGACUCCUACGGGAGGCAGCAGUGGAGAAUAUUACACAAUGGGCGGAAGCCUGAUGCAGCAACGCCGCGUGCGGGAUGACGGCCUUCGGGUUGUAAACCGCUUUCGCCUGUGACGAAGCGUGAGUGACGGUAAUGGGUAAAGAAGCACCGGCUAACUACGUG